UACGGAGGGUGCAAGCGUUAUCCGGAUUCACUGGGUUUAAAGGGUGUGUAGGCGGGUAAGUAAGUCAGUGGUGAAAUCUCCAGGCUCAACCUGGAAACUGCCAUUGAUACUAUUUAUCUUGAAUAUCGUUGAGGUAGGCGGAAUAUGUCAUGUAGCGGUGAAAUGCUUAGAUAUGACAUAGAACACCGAUUGCGAAGGCAGCUUACUAAACGAUUAUUGACGCUGAGGCACGAAAGCGUGGGGAUCAAACAGG
rnacentral:rRNA from 1 species